GUCUCAAUGUUUCUCUGUGGGUCUCUGUGGGCUCGAUGGUGUCUCUGUUGGUUUCUGUAUUGGUUCCCUAUAGGUCUGCUAUGGUCCCUAUGUGUUCUAUGGGGUCCUAUGUGUCCCUAUGGGUCCCCAUUGGUCCCUAUGGUUCUCUAUGUGUCUCUAUGGGACCCUAUGGUUUCCUUUGGGUCUCUAUGUGUCUCUAUGUGUCUCUAUGUGUCUCUAUGUGUCCCUAUGUGUCCCUACUGUGUCCCUAUGUGUCUCUAUGUCUCUCUAUGUGUCACUCUAAUGUGUCUCUAUGUGUCCCUAUGUGUCCCUAUGUGUCUCUAUGUGUCUCUAUGGGUCCCUAUGGGUUGCUAUAGGUCUCUAUGGGGUCUCAAUGUUUCUCUGUGGGUCUCUGUGGGUCUCGAUGGGUCUCUGUGUUUCUGUAUUGGUCCCUAUAGGUCUCUAUGGGUCCCUAUGUGUCUCUAUGGGGUCCCUAUGUGUCCUAUGGGUCCCCAUUGGUCCCCUAUGGUUCUCAUGUGUCUCUAUGGGACCGCUAUGGUUUUCCUUUGGUCCUUAUGUGUCUCUAUGUGUCUUCUAUGUGUC
rnacentral:lncRNA from 1 species